GUUAUUUCGAUAAGAGAAAGAAAAAUAUCUAAACCAACAAAAAUGAGAGAGGAUGAGUCAAAGUCAUGUUGGAAAAAAAGAUAAAAGAUUUUAUUUAUUUUUGUAUAAACAUGUUUUAAGAAUAUUUACUUUAUUUGGCCCAUAAGAGCAGCAGCAUUAAUGAACCCCCGGUUGGGGUUCAUAAUUUGAAUUUUUAUUAUUUUUUUUUCAUUUUUCGUUUGAUUUUUUUUUUUUUUUUUAAAAAAAAUUGAUCAAUAGCGGGUCGCCACAUGACGUGGGGUCCGCUGAACAGUAAUGAUCUGGGUUCAUGCAGAAGGAGCGUGGCGAGACAGAGUUAUUACUGUAGCAUAUUAUAAUAUUUUUUUUUUCGGGAAGCAUGUGAACCCCCUUAAUGAACAUCCAAUGCUGGUGCUCUAAGUAUACUGAUAGUUUAUUUGCCCUAUAAGUAUAUUAGUAAUCGGGAUUUAUUUUAUUAUGGCCCAUAAGUAUAUCGGCAUGCUCAAUUUUGAAUGUUUUAAUAUGGGCCAUAAUCAGCCAUACUUACAAAUUAUAAGCAUAAUCCAAUUUGUAUUUGUCAUUUUUUUAUAUUUUCAUUUUUUUAUAUUUUCAUUUUCCAUCUUAUGUAAAAGUGUGGAAUUCUGAAAAUUAGUGUAAAACUUUAAAGCUCAAAUGCAGUCCCGGUCCUAAGAUAUUAUAGGUUCAAUACAAAAAUAAAAAUCGAGGCCCUAAAUAAUUCCUAAACAUUUACAUUUAUAAAUAAUUAACAUUUAUGAUUUUUCGUAUAGUAAAAUAAAAAGAAAAAGAUAUUUAAUAUUUACUUUUUU
rnacentral:lncRNA from 1 species